rnacentral:rRNA from 1 species
UACGGAGGGUGCGAGCGUUGUCCGGAAUCACUGGGCGUAAAGGGCGCGUAGGCGGCCCGUCAAGCGUGUGGUGAAAGCCCGGGGCUCAACCCCGGAUCUGCCGUGCGGACUGGUUUGCUAGAGCACUGUAGAGGCGAGUGGAAUUCCGGGUGUAGCGGUGGAAUGCGUAGAGAUCCGGAAGAACACCGGUGGCGAAGGCGGCUCGCUGGGCAGUGGCUGACGCUGAGGCGCGACAGCGUGGGGAGCAAACAGG